rnacentral:rRNA from 1 species
CAGCAGCCGCGGUAAUACGUAGGUGGCAAGCGUUAUCCGGAAUUAUUGGGCGUAAAGCGCGCGCAGGUGGUUUCUUAAGUCUGAUGUGAAAGCCCACGGCUCAACCCUGGAGGGUCAUUGGGAACUGGGAGACUUGAGUGCAGAAGAGGAAAGUGGAAUUCCAUGUGUAGCGGUGAAAUGCGUAGAGAUAUGGAGGAACACCAGUGGCGAAGGCGACUUUCUGGUCUGUAACUGACACUGAGGCGCGAAAGCGUGGGGAGCAAACAGGAUUAGAUACCCUGGUAGUCCACGCCGUAAACGAUGAGUGCUAAGUGUUAGAGGGUUUCCGCCCUUUAGUGCUGAAGUUAACGCAUUAAGCACUCCGCCUGGGGAGUACGGCCGCAAGGCUGAAACUCAAAGGAAUUGACGGG